AAAAAAAAGAGAGGGAGAUUUAGAUUAGAUGUUAGGACAAAAUUCUUCACUUAGAGGCUGGUGAGGCACUCGAACUGGUUGCCAGAGAAUCUGGGGAUGCUCCAUCCCUGGGGGUGUUCAAGGCCAGGUUGGACAAGGCCCUGGGCU